ACGUAGGGUGCGAGCGUUAAUCGGAAUUACUGGGCGUAAAGCGUGCGCAGGUGGUCUCGCAAGUCAGGCGUGAAAUCCCCGGGCUUAACCUGGGAAUUGCGCUUGAAACUACGAGACUGGAGUGCGGCAGAGGGAGGUGGAAUUCCACGUGUAGCGGUGAAAUGCGUAGAUAUGUGGAGGAACACCGAUGGCGAAGGCAGCCUCCUGGGUCGACACUGACGCUCAUGCACGAAAGCGUGGGGAGCAAACAGGAUUAGAUACCCUGGUAGUCCACGCCCUAAACGAUGUCUACUAGUUGUUGGGGGAGUUAAAUCCCUUAGUAACGCAGCUAACGCGCGAAGUAGACCGCCUGGGGAGUACGGUCGCAAGAUUA
rnacentral:rRNA from 1 species